GCCGGUCCUCGGUAGUGGCCUUGCGGAUCCACGCGAUCCGCGGGCUUCGAUCGAAGACCGGC
rfam:Thermomonospora curvata DSM 43183, complete genome.